rnacentral:misc_RNA from 1 species
GUGAAUUUCGACGCGAGUCGAUACACUUUCGGCUGUGCGCCUUCGGGCCGCACGCCGUCCACACACCCGUGCACACUUCGGUGGGAGGUGACUCCCGCUGUAUUUUACACACUUUAAAAAGUCUUGAAUGUAACAAAUUUAUAACAAAUA